rnacentral:tRNA from 1 species
GCUUGGGUAGCUCAGUUGGUAGAGCGCGGUCCUGAAGAGACUGAGGUCCCCGGUUCGAUCCCGGGCCCAAGCA